CGCGUACACGACCUACCUUAAAGAGGGGGAUAGCCUCGGGAAACUGAGAAUAAUACCCCAUGUGGUUAACUUUACUAAACGGUUAAUUAAAGGCUUCGGCCGCUUUAAGAUGGGUGUGCGUACUAUUAGAUAGUUGGUGAGGUAACGGCUCACCAAGUCGACGAUAGUUAGGGGGCGUGAGAGCGUGAUCCCCCACACGGGUACUGAGACACGGACCCGACUCCUACGGGAGGCAGCAGUAAGGAAUAUUGGACAAUGGAGGAAACUCUGAUCCAGCCAUCCCGCGUGAAGGAUGAAUGC
rnacentral:rRNA from 1 species